rnacentral:rRNA from 1 species
UGAGGAAUUUUCUGCAAUGGGCGAAAGCCUGACAGAGCAAUACCGCGUGAGGGACGAAAGCCUGCGGGUUGUAAACCUCUUUUCUCAAGGAAGAAGAUCUGACGUUACUUGAGGAAUAAGCAUCGGCUAACCCUGUGC